CGUUCUGAGAGCUAGCUUAUUGUGAGACUGCUGGAGUAGAACAAAAAGAGCUUGAAUUCUGGGCUGCAAACUCCAGAUGAAGAGGAGCAUCUCUAGAAAUUUUAAAUGAGAAUAAAAUAUGAACAGUCAAAUUAUCCGCUUGCCUAAAUCACCACAGAACCAUUUAAAAGAGUCAUUCCAACUUAAACCAACUGAGAGUCUUCAUGUGCAAAACCGGGUGAUUUCCCAUACACAUCACAUUUGACAACUGUGCUGAUGAAAGUG